AGCGAACGCUGGCGGCAGGCUUAACACAUGCAAGUCGAACGCCAUCUUCGGAUGGAGUGGCAGACGGGUGAGUAACGCGUGGGAACGUACCUUUUGGUUCGGAAUAUUCUCGGGAAACUGAGAGCAAUACCGAAUAAGCCCUUAGGGGGAAAGAUUUAUUGCCAAAAGAUCGGCCCGCGUUAGAUUAGGUAGUUGGUAGGGUAAUGGCCUACCAAGCCUACGAUCUAUAGCUGGUCUGAGAGGAUGAUCAGCCACAUUGGGACUGAGACACGGCCCAAACUCCUACGGGAGGCAGCAGUGGGGAAUAUUGGACAAUGGGCGCAAGCCUGAUCCAGCCAUGCCGCGUGAAUGAUGAAGGCCUUAGGGUUGUAAAAUUCUUUCAACGGGGACGAUAAUGACGGUACCCGUAGAAGAAGCCCCGGCUAACUUCGUGCCAGCAGCCGCCGUAA
rnacentral:rRNA from 1 species